CCUACGGGAGGCAGCGAUUAAGGGAUAUGUGUCAAUGGACGCAAGUCUGAACCAGCCAUGCCGCGUGGAGUGAUGAAGGCCCUCUGGGUUGUAAACUUCUUUUAUUUGGGAAGAAACCCCAUCUUUUCUAAGGUGGUUGACGGUACCAAGCGAAUAAGCACCGGCUAACUCCGUGCCAGCAGCCGCGGUAAU
rnacentral:rRNA from 1 species